AUCAGUAUUCAGUAUACAGAUAAUUAAAGAAAAUAUUAAACCAAAAACUAAUUCAAGACAUUAAACCAAAACGUAAUUAACCUAAGGUCCUAAACCUAAAACCUAAGCCGCUCCCAGAGCCCCCGCCUCCAGCUUUGUAACCGUAGUCCUCCGCCUCCAGCCUCCAGAGCAUCCGCCUCAAGCCUCUGUUCUCUUCUUUAAUCCUGAGAUCGAGCCAUUUUCUGUGCAUCUUCCCUAACUUGAAUGUAGUUGUCCUCUAUCAUAAAUAACUGCAAGCCAAACACAAGUGUUCAACAAUAUUCUUUGAAAGACAUGGAAAUGGUUGGGGAAUUGGUAUGAGACAAACCUCGAGGUGGCUAGCAACAAAAUCCUCCGCAUUUUUUAACUAAGAACAGAAAACCAAAACACCACUUCUUGUCCUUCCCUGUUCCUUCUUAGAUCUGUAGGGC
rnacentral:lncRNA from 1 species